GACUUUUCAUUUUUGGGUGAACUAUCCUGUUAAGUGCUAAACUAUCCUGUUUGGAAUUUUCAGUGUGUGCGCACUACCACACUAUAUACACUACUAAACAACAUAGAAUAGUGCACAAAGACACAAAUUGGGACGUACCUAUUGCCACAACGCUAAGUGGUUGGUAGUUGCCACGGCGUUGCAAUGCAGUUGCUAGGGUGCUCUGAGCGGCUUUAGCAUGUUGAUGUGCAGUUGCUAGGGUAUUUGGGGUAAUUGCUAAGUGGCUGCUUAUUGGGCAAAAAGCCCAUAAAAUUUAUAGCACACUCCUCUACAAGCUGCACAAUUGCAUGUGUCAUUCAUGUUCAUAUCACAAACGAUGAUGAGCGAGUUACAUACCAAAUUUUGAUAUUUUGUUGUAGAAGUUUGUUCAAAUAACUAAGACUUUGUGAAAUAAUACUAGUAAUGUUUACCUUAGGAAGCACCACUAAUAAAAUUUUUCUUUUCAUCAAAUUUCUUGCUGGGUUCAUAGAAAGUCCACACACACACACACACACACACACACACGACCUCAGCUCUGAAAUAGCACCAUCUAUGGGACUGAAGCAGCAGACAGGGCAGGAGAUCUGAUCUGGGGUCAGGUUUGCCCGUCAUACACUAAUGACUGACUCAUGAGAAUGAAAGAUUCUCUCUCUCUCUUUCAUCAUGUGGUCUGUGUUUUUCUGUCCAUCUCUUUGUGUUUCUCUCAGCUACAGGAACGCUGCAGCAUAGGCAGUGGGUGGAACUAAUCUCAUUAAAUAUGAAAGAACUUCCAAUGAAUUGAGAAAAGAAAGAGGGAGUGAGAAAAAGAGGAGAGGAGAGGUUACUGAAGACAGAGGAGGCGGGACUCAAAUGACAGACAUUCCACUGGACAAAUAGCAACUUGAGAUCGGAUUGAUCUUCCCAAUCAACAGCAAAAACCUGCUGAUUCUGUCUGGUGUGUUGAUGGAGAGUCUCAACAGUCUACUAUGACAAGAACAUCCUAGAGUCUGUGAUUUAAAGCUCAGAGAAAAGAAAUCUAAAGACAUAAUCAGAUCACAGAGAUGGAGCCGUGUGUGUGCGGUUAUCCCACAGGUCUCUCCAGGCUUCCUUUCACAUCAGAGCCAUCCCGUUGAGCUCCACUUAACAGGUUAAAUAUUUCAUGCUCGCACCGAACUGCCACUUUGAGUUCAGAGAUACAGAUGAGCGCCAGUCGCUUGCAGCUCCCUAUACUCCACACAGCCUGCAUCA